AACGAACGCUGGCGGCGGGGUUUAGGCAUGCAAGUCGAGCGAGAAAGGGGCAACCCGAGUAAAGCGGCGUAAGGGUGAGUAAUAGGUAGUUUACGUAUCCUGUUGUACGCGGAUAAUUCCUCGAAAGGGGUUGUAAUACGCGAUGAGACCACAUCCGAUCCGUCGGGAGAGGUCAAAGGUUCGGGAUCCUUCGGGACCGAGCGCAAUGGGAGCGGACGACCUCCGAUUAGCUAGAUGGCGGGGUAACGCCCACCAUGGCGAUGAUCGGUAGCCGGCCUGAGAGGGUGUCCGGCCACACUGGGACUGAGACACUGCCCAGACUCCUACGGGAGGCUGCAGUCGCGAAUCAUUCACAAU
rnacentral:rRNA from 1 species